rnacentral:tRNA from 1 species
GAGGGUAUAGCUCAGUGGUAGAGUAUAUGCUUAGGGUGCAUGAGGUCAUGGGUUCAAUCCCCAGUACCUCCA